rnacentral:rRNA from 1 species
UACAGAGGUCCCAAGCGUUGUUCGGAUUCACUGGGCGUAAAGGGUGCGUAGGCGGUCGGGUAAGUCUGAUGUGAAAUCUCACAGCUUAACUGUGAAACUGCAUUGGAUACUAUCCGGCUCGAGGAAUGGAGGGGAGACUGGAAUACUUGGUGGUAGCAGUGAAAUGCGUAGAUAUCAAGUGGAACACCAGUGGCGAAGGCGAGUCUCUGGACAUUUCCUGACGCUGAGGCACGAAAGCCAGGGGAGCAAACGGG